UGGGGGAUAUUGCACAAUGGGCGAAAGCCUGAUGCAGCGACGCCGCGUGAGGGAAGACGGUUUUCGGAUUGUAAACCUCUGUCUUCGGGGACGAAAAUGACGGUACCCGAGGAGGAAGCCACGGCUAACUACGUGCCAGCAGCCGCGGUAAUACGUAGGUGGCAAGCGUUGUCCGGAAUUACUGGGUGUAAAGGGAGAGUAGGCGGGAUUGCAAGUCCGUUGUUAAAUCUAUCGGCUUAACCGGUAGCUGCGGCACGAAAGCGUGGGGAUCGAACAGGAUUAGAUACCCUGGUAGU
rnacentral:rRNA from 1 species